rnacentral:rRNA from 1 species
UACAGAGGUCUCAACCGUUGUUCGGAUUCAUUGGGCGUAAAGGGUGCGUAGGCGGUGGGGUAAGUUGGAUGUGAAAUCUUGGGGCUUAACCUCAAAAUUGCAUUCAAUACUGCUCUGCUCGAGUUCUGUAGAGGAGAUUGGAAUUUACGGUGUAGCAGUGAAAUGCGUAGAUAUCGUAAGGAACGCCAGUGGCGAAAGCGAAUCUCUGGGCAGCAACUGACGCUGAGGCACGAAGGCCAGGGGAGCAAACGGG